rnacentral:sRNA from 1 species
ACUUGUAUAAUUAUUCAUUUUUUCAUACUUUUUCUUUGUUAGUUUUAUGCCGGAAAAAUCUGUUUAAUUAUUUUCCCGCCACAUUGUUUGAAAUAACUUUUUUCUCAAUUCUUCCAUUGGCUUAUUGUGGAUAUGCACAUAAGCGUCAAUAUAAUGGUGAAGUUUGUUUAAUUAAAUUUCCACUUAUUUGUUUAAAUCAAUAUAAACUCGGUGCACAACUUCGGAUUGAAUGUGUUUUCUACGAGUAUGCGACUUAGUGAAUACAAAUAUGUUCGAAUUUUUCAUCUGUUAGCAGAUGGAAAACUAAUAUGUAGCAAACGAUCAUUGUUUUCGUGACUUUAGACCACAGUAGCCGGGUCUCAGAAUAAUGAACAAACUCCUGACUGCGACCAAGCAAACCGAAAGGGGGGCAUUUCUGGUGAGGAAGGGGUGAGCUGAACACGUCGUCUGCCAACAGCACGUGUCAUCCGCCCCGUGGACAAAUUGUGGGUUGUGGGCGGGAAAAGGUGGGGGGGCGGUACCGCGGGGAAGGAAGUCCGCCAACGUCAGCCAAAAUGUCACUCGACGAUGAGCAAAUAAAACUACCGAAAAAUGAACAUGAAACCGGUAGUUGGGGGGAGCAGGGAAGUGGAACAGAAACGAAAACCUGACAACCCUGCCAAGUGGGCCAUGUUUAGCAGACUGUUGCUUUAGCACUUUUUGUGUGGGUACUUUUCCCUCUGUCUUCGUGGCUCCACAUAUCCCAGUCUUCAUUUGGAAGCCACAGCUUUGAAAAGGAUACUCUGUAUAAUUACGCACACAAAAAUAUAUUUCUAAUCUAAUUUAAUGCACGAAAUGUGGCACGUUAUUUAGGUUUAUUUAUGUCGCAAGUUAAUAAGAUAAACUGGAUAAGAGGCGUUAUUUUAAAUAGGAAUAAAUAUUAUAUAUGGGAUUAGAAAUGUAAAAUCUUAUAUAGCAGGAACAUCUGCAUCACUUUGUACCUUCUUCGUUUUCUUGCUGCUCAAUUGAGCCCAUUGGCUUUAGUUUUUGGCCCUUUUUCUGAUGAACAAUUACCUGUGGGUCCUGUUGCAAGGAUAACCGGGGUUGAAUGUGCAUGACCCACAAUGAGCCCGACCACCUGCACCCCGAAUCGUCACCACCCACCUGGCAUUAACAUGGAUAUACGGAGGUGAACCAAAAUCGUUUUUGUGGUUAACUGGGUGGUUUAUGGUUACACAUUCGCCCUCCUCUUCUGCCCCAUCGCCUUUGUGGGGCUCUCUUUCGCUCCGCAGGCCAACUAAUAAAUGGGGGCGAGCAGUGGGCGUGGUCGCCCAUUUGCUGACCGCAUUCACGGAGCUGGCCUCCAUUUGGCCUGCUUUGUCUGCAAUUAAAAGCAGGCAGUUCAAAGAAACUCAAGCAAAGCCAAGUACACUGGGGAAAAAAAACCCUCCCAACUUUAUGACGAGUAAUAAAGUUUUUAAAAUGCCCUCGCUCUGCUGACAUUUAUCUUUAUAAUUCAAAUUUUUAGAUAAAAUAUAAAAUUACAAAAGUGAAUUUUCCGUGUAGCCCAAAUCUGUAAGCAUUAGAUGUUUUUUAUAGCCAACAACAUCCGCGUUGUCAUGGGGGUUAUGACAAUUUCCCCACAGAUGUCAUCGAGAUGCCAUGAACUCCGUGACAUCUGCCAGGCCCAUUAGGGCAAUACGGAUUUCAAAAUGCCAGCAGCGACUAUCGCAGCAUUUUUUGACCACUAAUUUCGUUUUGAUGCCGAUUCGGAUUGGGAUUUGGAUUCCAAUUCCGAUUUGGAUUCGGUCAUUUCCCCGCUGGACAGCACAACAAUCGGUGACGAUUUAAUUAAUUCGAGCCUCGAGUCCAUCAAACAAAAGCCGGAAUGAUAGAAACGGAAUCCGCCGGAGCGCGAAUACAAUGAAAAUUUAUUCGAUUCAAGUGCCAGCCACCCACCAUCAGUCAGUCAGUCAGACACCCACCGGUCACCACCGAACCACCCACCCACAUACAUAGAGUAUACUCGUAUACCCACCUCCCAUAUGUCCGAUGCCUGCUGAGCCCGGGUUUAUCAUUCUGAUCACG